GACGAACGCUGGCGGCGUGCUUAACACAUGCAAGUCGAACGAAAAGGCCCUGCUCUUGCGCGGUGCUCGUGUGGCGAACGGGUGAGUAACACGUGUAUGACCUCCCCCUGACUUUGGGAUAACUUCAGGAAACUCCGGCUCAUACCGCAUAGGAGCUCCCGCUCCACGGGGGUGGUUGGAAAGAUUUGGCGGUUGGGGAUGGACUCGCUGCUCAUCCGCUUGUUGGUCGGGUAGUUGCUUACCAAGCCUUUGACGGCUAGCCGGCAUGAGAGGUGGACCGGCGACAAUAGGACUGAGGGACGGAGCAGACGGGUACGGGAGGCAGUAGUGGGGAGUAUGGCAGAAUGGGCGGGAGCGUGAUGCAGCAGCGCCGCGUGCGGGAUGACGGGCUUCGGGGGGUAAACCGACGUGGACGGUGACGAAGAGGGAGUGACGGUAAUGGGUAAAAAAGCACCGGCUAACUACGUG
rnacentral:rRNA from 1 species